GCGCCUUGCCAGCCCGCUCAGAAACUCAAAGGAAUUGACGGGGACCCGCACAAGCAGCGGAGCAUGUGGUUUAAUUCGAAGCAACGCGAAGAACCUUACCAAGACUUGACAUCCCCUGACAGCUGUUGAAAGGCAGUGUCUCUUCGGAGCAGGGAGACAGGUGGUGCAUGGUUGUCGUCAGCUCGUGUCGUGAGAUGUUGGGUUAAGUCCCGCAACGAGCGCAACCCUUAUCCUUAGUUACCAGCACGUAAAGGUGGGGACUCUAGGGAGACCGCCGGGGACGACUCGGAGGAAGGUGGGGACGACGUCAAAUCAUCAUGCCCCUUAUGUCUUGGGCUACACACGUGCUACAAUGGCCGCAACAGAGGGAAGCGAGAGCGCAAGCUGGAGCAAAACCCUAAAAAGCGGUCCCAGUUCGGAUUGUGGGCUGCAACCCGCCCACAUGAAGUCGGAGUUGCUAGUAAUCGCGAAUCAGCAUGUCGCGGUGAAUGCGUUCCCGGGCCUU
rnacentral:rRNA from 1 species